UCGAGCGGACAGAAGGGAGCUUGCUCCCGGAUGUUAGCGGCGGACGCGGUGAGUAACACGUGGGUAACCUGCCUGUAAGACUGGGAUAACUCCGGGAAACCGGAGCUAAUACCGGAUAGUUCCUUGAACCGCAUGGUUCAAGGAUGAAAGACGGUUUCGGCUGUCACUUACAGAUGGACCCGCGGCGCAUUAGCUAGUUGGUGAGGUAACGGCUCACCAAGGCGACGAUGCGUAGCCGACCUGAGAGGGUGAUCGGCCACACUGGGACUGAGACACGGCCCAGACUCCUACGGGAGGCAGCAGUAGGGAAUCUUCCGCAAUGGACGAAAGUCUGACGGAGCAACGCCGCGUGAGUGAUGAAGGUUUUCGGAUCGUAAAGCUCUGUUGUUAGGGAAGAACAAGUGCAAGAGUAACUGCUUGCACCUUGACGGUACCUAACCAGAAAGCCACGGCUAACUACGUGCCAGCAGCCGCGGUAAUACGUAGGUGGCAAGCGUUGUCCGGAAUUAUUGGGCGUAAAGGGCUCGCAGGCGGUUUCUUAAGUCUGAUGUGAAAGCCCCCGGCUCAACCG
rnacentral:rRNA from 2 species